GACGAACGCUGGCGGCGUGCUUAACACAUGCAAGUCGAACGGAAAGGCCCUGCUUUUGUGGGGUGCUCGAGUGGCGAACGGGUGAGUAACACGUGAGUAACCUGCCCUUGACUUUGGGAUAACUUCAGGAAACUGGGGCUAAUACCGGAUAGGAGCUCCUGCUGCAUGGUGGGGGUUGGAAAGUUUCGGCGGUUGGGGAUGGACUCGCGGCUUAUCAGCUUGUUGGUGGGGUAGUGGCUUACCAAGGCUUUGACGGGUAGCCGGCCUGAGAGGGUGACCGGACACAUUGGGACUGAGAUACGGCCCAGACUCCUACGGGAGGCAGCAGUGGGGAAUAUUGAACAAUGGGCGGAAGCCUGAUGCAGCAACGCCGCGUGCGGGAUGACGGCCUUCGGGUUGUAAACCGCUUUCGCCUGUGACGAAGCGUGAGUGACGGUAAUGGGUAAAGAAGCACCGGCUAACUACGUG
rnacentral:rRNA from 1 species